rnacentral:rRNA from 1 species
CAAGUAGCGUGCAGGAUGACGGCCCUAUGGGUUGUAAACUGCUUUUAUAAGGGAAUAAAGUGAGUGUCGUGAGACUUUUUGCAUGUACCUUAUGAAUAAGGACCGGCUAAUUCCGUGCCAGCAGCCGCGGUAAUACGGAAGGUCCGGGCGUUAUCCGGGUUUAUUGGGUUUAAAGGGAGCGUAGGCCGGAGAUUAAGCGUGUUGUGAAAUGUAGACGCUCAACGUCUGCACUGCAGCGCGAACUGGUUUCCUUGAGUACGCACAAAGUGGGCGGAAUUCGUGGUGUAGCGGUGAAAUGCUUAGAUAUCACGAAGAACUCCGAUUGCGAAGGCAGCUCACUGGAGCGCAACUGACGCUGAAGCUCGAAAGUGCGGGUAUCGAACAGGAUUAGAUACCCUGGUAGUCCGCACGGUAAACGAUGGAUGCCCGCUGUUGGUCUGAAUAGGUCAGCGGCCAAGCGAAAGCAUUAAGCAUCCCACCUGGGGAGUACGCCGGCAACGGUGCAACUCAAAGGAAUUGACGGA